CCAACUGACCAGCCCUUUUGUUUUCUCGACUUCCAAGCAUUCCCUGUUCAGAACCCUGAACCCACCGUUAUAAUUACAUUUCUCGGUAACCCCUUUUCCCAUCCUCGUUAGCAAGUGAUAAGGUAAAAGCUACCCGUCCCUUGAGGUUUAUCCGGUGCCACUGCAUCCUUAAAUGCACAUUCUUACCCUUUCCAACAACUUUUCCUUGGUACCUUCCUUUCAUCCACACAUGCUCCCGAAAUACAUAAAAAGAUCCCAAUUUUCUGACUAGAGUCUAGAGGUAGUAGAUAGACAGUAGUCCUAGCAAUCCCUUCAAUUCUCUACGCAUUUUCUUUUAUUAUUCACAAGUAUCGAACACUCUUAAGUCACUUCCUAAAAAAGCCUAGCUAGUUUGAGUAGUUUCUCCUUUCUCCUUUCCUUCGACUCCCUAGACAGUCAAGAUAAUCAUGAGCCACUCAUCAUGAUAUAAUCACAACUCUCAUUCGCCUGCUUUUUGAUCUUUCUCCAAGUUCCAAGCUUGUCCUGCCCCAUCGUCUUCUUAAUUUUUACACUUCAAAUCUGCUUACUAGCACGGACUCCAUGAGGAAUACAGGCUCUAGUUUCCCUGAUCUUUCUUUACAAAUCAGUCCACCAUCCUUGAGGAAUUAUGAUAUCAAAGAAGUAGGAUACGAGAUUGGAUUGAUGGUGAAAAGUUCUUAUCCUAGUGACCGUAGCUCGACCACUGAUUCCGGAAGCUGCGGAAGCGAUUUAAGCCAUGAAAAUGGUGGGUUUGAUCCAGAAAGGAGUUUAAGUUAUCCUUCUGUCGAUCCAACUUUGAGUCUAGGGUUCGACAUGGCUGUUUCCAAUCCUCUUCCCCUCCAACCUCCGAGAAAUUUCCAAGCGUACCACCAUUAUCAACCUCAAAUAUACGGACGUGACUUCAAGAGAAAUUCAAGAAUGAUAAAUGGGCUUAAAAGAAGCGUUAGAGCUCCUCGAAUGCGAUGGACUUCAACUCUUCAUGCUCAUUUUGUUCACGCAGUUCAGCUCCUCGGUGGCCAUGAAAGAGCUACACCAAAAUCAGUGCUGGAGUUGAUGAACGUCAAGGAUCUAACCCUAGCUCAUGUCAAGAGUCAUUUGCAGAUGUAUAGAACAGUAAAGAGCACUGACAAAGGCGCAGCAGGACCAAUAGGGCAGACAGACGUGGUUUUGAGCCAAAGGACAGGGAUGGCUGAAGUUGAGAGCCUUGAAGCAGGCGUGGAACUGUCUUGUGAGAAGGCCGGUUCCAACCCUUCUGCAAAUUCAAUCAAUAUUUCACUACCAUCAUCAUCACCAUCACUACCAACAACACUACACAAUGCUCAGAGACCUUCAUGUGAGUUACCACCAAGGACAAAUAUAUGGUGCCACCCAAGUCAAGAAAAUUCAUUGAGAUGUUAUCAACAUGGAGACAAGGACACAAAGGGUGCCGGAAUUGAUUCACUCCACCAUAUGUCCGGGAAGAUGGAGAAGAAGUUAGAUAGUAAUAGUACAAAUAGGUCAAUGUUGGCAUCUUCCGACAUGCUGCUCAAUCUUGAGUUCACCCUCGGGAGGUCAAGCUGGCAACUGGACCACGACGCAAAUAAUACUACUGACUUGACCAUUAAUCUCAAAUGUUGAAACCUGAAAGCUACAACUGGAAACAUUUAUUAAUCUGGAAGUAUCAUCAUCAAUAUCUUCUAGGACGAAAGGCAUUUUUAUGUGCCGAUCUUUCGAUUUUGUCUGGAAGCAACAGACCCAAAGGUGAAGGAAGAGUGUGAUGCUACAAUUGCAUUAGUGAGCGUAAACCUUGUUACAUUGAUCCGG